rnacentral:SRP_RNA from 1 species
GGCUCGGGUCUUACGCAAUGAAUCUCCAUGAACCAUGUCAGGUCCGGAAGGAAGCAGCAUUAAGUGGAUCAAUUCAUGUGCCGUGGGGUAGCCUGAGUGGAGU